rnacentral:rRNA from 1 species
AUUGAACGCUGGCGGCAUGCCUUACACAUGCAAGUCGAACGGCAGCACGGGUGCUUGCACCUGGUGGCGAGUGGCGAACGGGUGAGUAAUACAUCGGAACAUGUCCUAUAGUGGGGGAUAGCCCGGCGAAAGCCGGAUUAAUACCGCAUACGAUCCACGGAUGAAAGCGGGGGACCUUCGGGCCUCGCGCUAUCGGGUUGGCCGAUGGCUGAUUAGCUAGUUGGUGGGGUAAAGGCCUACCAAGGCGACGAUCAGUAGCUGGUCUGAGAGGACGACCAGCCACACUGGGACUGAGACACGGCCCAGACUCCUACGGGAGGCAGCAGUGGGGAAUUUUGGACAAUGGGCGAAAGCCUGAUCCAGCAAUGCCGCGUGUGUGAAGAAGGCCUUCGGGUUGUAAAGCACUUUUGUCCGGAAAGAAAUCCUUGACUCUAAUACAGUCGGGGGAUGACGGUACCGGAAGAAUAAGCACCGGCUAACUACGUG